AUUGAACGCUGGCGGCAGGCUUAACACAUGCAAGUCGAACGAGUGGCGGACUGGUGCGUAAUGCUUGGGAAUCUAGCUUAUGGCGGGGGAUAACUACUGGCAACUGUAUCUAAUACCGCGUACCAUCGGAUGCGCCCAAGUGGGAUUAGGUAGUUGGUGGGGUAAAGGCUCACCACGCCGACGCUCUCUAGCUGGUCUGAGAGGAUGACCAGCCACAAUGGGACUGAGACACGGCCCAGACUCCUACGGGAGGCAGCAGUGGGGAAUAGUGCGCAAUGGGGGAAAGCCUGACACAGCCAGGCCGCGUGGAUGAAGAAGGCCUUAGGGUUGUAAAGUUCUUUCAGUAGCGAGGCGUUAGCUGCAGAAGAAGCACCGGCUAACUCCGUGCCAGAAGCCGCGGUAAUAC
rnacentral:rRNA from 1 species